rnacentral:misc_RNA from 1 species
ACGUUCGAGCGUCAUUAAACACUAUCAAGCUUUGCUUGGAAUUGGGCCCUGUCAAAUUGACUGGCUUUAAAAUCAGUGGCAGUGUCAUCUGACUCUAAGCGUAGUAACUUUUCUCGCUAUUGUGUCUGGUGGUCUCUCGCCAACAACUCCUAUUUUCAAUGUUUGACCUCGGAUCGUGUAGGAAUACCCGCUGAACUUAA